ACACAUAAAUAAGAUUUAGUGCUGCGU
rnacentral:sRNA from 1 species